rnacentral:rRNA from 1 species
UACGAAGGGGGCUAGCGUUGCUCGGAAUCACUGGGCGUAAAGCGCACGUAGGCGGAUUGUUAAGUCAGGGGUGAAAUCCUGGAGCUCAACGUCCAGAACUGCCUUUGAUACUGGCGAUCUCGAGUCCGGGAGAGGUGAGUGGAACUGGCGAGUGUAGAGGUGAAAUUCGUAGAGUAUUCGCAAGAACACCAGUGGCGAAGGCGGACUCACUGGCC